rnacentral:rRNA from 1 species
GUCGAGCGAGAACCAGUCCUUCGGGAUUGGGGAAAGCGGCGAACGGGUGAGUAACACGUGGGUAAUCUGCCCUCGGUACUGGGAUAGCCCGGGGAAACCCGGAUUAAUACCGGAUAGCCUUUCGAGUCUUCGGACUCGUCAGAAAAGGUGGCUUCGGCUUCCGACUGAGGAUGAGCCCGCGGCGGAUUAGCUUGUUGGUGUGGGUAAUGGCCUACCAAGGCGACGAUCCGUAGCUGGUCUGAGAGGACGAUCAGCCACACUGGGACUGAGACACGGCCCAGACUCCUACGGGAGGCAGCAGUGGGGAAUCUUGCGCAAUGGGCGAAAGCCUGACGCAGCGACGCCGCGUGCGGGAAGAAGGCCUUCGGGUUGUAAACCGCUUUCAGGAGGGACGAAGCCACUCGGGUUAAUAGCCCAGAGGGUGACGGUACCUCCAGAAGAAGCCCCGGCUAACUACGUGCCAGCAGCCGCGGUAAUACGUAGGGGGCAAGCGUUGUCCGGAUUUAUUGGGCGUAAAGAGCGUGUAGGCGGCCAGGUAGGUCAGCUGUGAAAACUCGAGGCUCAACCUCGAGAUGUCGGCUGAAACCAUCUGGCUAGAGUCCGGAAGAGGAGAGUGGAAUUCCCGGUGUAGCGGUGAAAUGCGCAGAUAUCGGGAAGAACACCCGUGGCGAAGGCGGCUCUCUGGGACGGUACUGACGCUGAGACGCGAAAGCGUGGGGAGCGAACAGGAUUAGAUACCCUGGUAGUCCACGCCGUAAACGAUGGGAACUAGGUGUGGGCGGUGUCGACUCCGUCCGUGCCGAAGCUAACGCAUUAAGUUCCCCGCCUGGGGAGUACGGCCGCAAGGCUAAAACUCAAAGGAAUUGACGGGGGCCCGCACAAGCAGCGGAGCAUGUGGUUUAAUUCGACGCGACGCGAAGAACCUUACCAGGCUUGACAUGCACCGGAAUGUCGUAGAAAAUACGGCAGCCCUUCGGG